GGAGGAGGAGAAUGGAGACAGACAUUUGUUGGAGAGAGACGGAACAGACUCAGAGCUGCCAGGGGAAAUUCCAAAAUGUAGGUGGAAAGGGAAAGUGGCCCACGGAAGGGCAGCCUGAAAGCGUCUUGGACAGCAAGACCAAUGGGCUUCGCAGAAGAUAAUCGGGAAACGAAGCUGAGGGCAGCUUUCAAGGUGUUGAGCAAGGAGUUAAAGAGAUCACGAAAGAAGAAACUGGCUGGCAAAAGAUGAAGUUCAAACACGAAGCAACGUCUUACAGUCUUACAAGGUCUUACAACGUCUUACAAAGUCUUACAGCCUUGAAGGAGGAGGUUCCAGACAUUUGAAAACAGCUGAAAGGCCAGAAGCUAAGAAUCUGAAAGCAUUUCUAACU